GCCGAGGUGGCGGAAUGGUAGACGCGGCGGACUUAAAAUCCGCUUCCCUCAAGGGAGUGUGGGUUCGAGUCCCUCCCUCGGCA
rnacentral:tRNA from 1 species